AUGUCUCUAUCUCGUUAUGACAGAAACAACAACAAAGGGAAUUGGCUCUGAAGCCUCUGAGAGAAACAAAAACACAAUGGUAAGAGAAAAAAGUUGUUAACGUUGAAGAUAUUAACGUUGAAGAUAUUAACGUUGUGCUAGUAUUUUUUAGUCUUGAUGACUUGUCUCGUGUAUAUCUAGUCUUCACUCUUCACCACCGUCGUUUAGCUUUGUCAUUGUGUUUGCCUCAUAGACAAGUAAGUAACAAACAGCCCCCACAAAUCU